GCGUCCUGCCUCGUGAUCGUCUUCUCACCGAACGCGACGGCAGGCGGAAUGACGGACGGCCCCCGCGAGGACAUGACUCGCGGGGGCCGCCC
rfam:Streptomyces turgidiscabies Car8 gcontig_1113219320891, whole genome shotgun sequence.